GGCAGAAACCUGGGAAUUCAACCUGGAAGACUAGUGAAUAGUCCUGGACUCCAAUGCCUCCAUUUUACAAAUGGAGAAAUUGAGGCCCAGGGAGGGAAGGUGACCUGCACAGAGUCAUCUAGAAAAGUGGGAGCUGAAUCUAGGCCAGCUUCUCGAACCCACUCCACGGAGUCCAGAGUGUGGGGCCGCCUCCCAUAUUCGCCAGGCCAUACACGGGGGCCCUGGUGGCCUGGCUGGUGUUGGUGCGGACCAGAGGAGGAAAAACCACAGAACAAAACACAGGCAGAGACCCUACAAGCUACUCACAGACUGGUUUCAUCAAAAGAUCAUUUGAAUGCUGAGCAACUUCCAUAAAACAACUUCUGAAUCCUGGCGGAGGACAUCAGGCACCCAGAAAGGCAGCCCAUUCUCUUCGAAAGGAGGUAAGACAAAAUAUAAAAGACAAAAGAGAGAUAAGAGUUAAGGACAGAGACCUGUUCUGGGGAGGGAGUCGUGAAGGAGGAGAAGUUUCCACACAGUAGGAAGUGCUCUCACAGGUCGGUCUGUGGGGAGUUUUAGAAUCUCAGAAGACAACAUAACUGGGAGAAAGAAAAAGAAAAAUCAACAGAAUACACACCUAACCACUACUGCAGAAAAGAGAACUUUCCCGCCAAAGUCUCUAACCUAACGACCUAACGGGCCACCUGGCCCACUCAUAGAACAAAGGAUUGAGCACAUACCGAAGAAGAGCCAGCCACUGCGAACCAGCUCCUCGCCACCCAGAGGCAGACUUACCACAGCCGGAGCCGGAAGGCAAGGGGCUGCCGCGUCUUCCACCAAACCGUGAGCAGGCUCCCAGCUGC